UACGAACCGUGCAAACGUUGUUCGGAAUCACUGGGCUUAAAGGGCGCGUAGGCGGCUUGCCAAGUCAGGGGUGAAAUCUUUCGGCUUAACCGGAAAAGUGCCUUUGAUACUGGCGAGCUAGAGGGAGGUAGGGGCAUGUGGAACUUCCGGUGGAGCGGUGAAAUGCGUUGAUAUCGGAAGGAACGCCGGUGGCGAAAGCGACGUGCUGGACCUUUUCUGACGCUGAGGCGCGAAAGCUAGGGGAGCGAACGG
rnacentral:rRNA from 1 species